GUCUCGUUCCUCUCUCGUGGCUGGCACGGAACCAGCAGAGAGGCCCAGCCUGCGUGCUCUUCAGCACCCCAGGCACCAUCCCGGCCAGCUGGGGAGCGUCUGUGCCCAGAUGCCCUUGACAUCCCUCUUCUCUGCAUCUCACAGCUGUGUGGGGUGACUGGGCAUGAGUCAUCAGCCACUGGGGCCUCCCACCUGCCCCAGGUGAGCACAGCCUCUGUAGGGGCCACCCAGUGAAUCGGCAGCCAUGGGAACUUCCCUAGCACCUCCUCCCCAGGGUGUCCACCCAGGCCACCUCCUUUCUCUGCCGCCUCCUCCAGGCAGGACAUCCCACCCAACUUAGCUGGCAGAGCUCUAGAGGUCAGGCUAAGUGACCAGGUAACAUGGGGUAGCCCUGGCCAGUCCCAAGCAUGUUCCCUGGGGAGGCCACUGGGAGGUAUGUCCCUGGGGCUGGAGCAGGCUGAGGGCAUUCUGGGUCAAAUUAACGCAAGAUUUGGGACCUCUGAAACAGAGCUCUGAGCACAUGCUGGGAAGUUGGGGGCGGGUAGAAGAGCUGCUGGGAGGGCCCAGCACAGUGCGGGAUGCAGGAUGCGGGAUGCUCAAGGAGGGACAGCUGCACAACUGGGAGUUGCGAUGAUGUCGAGGAACGGGGAGGCAUUGAAGGCAGCUGACUCCAGACCAGCUCUGUCUGCUCCAACGCAGCACUGAGGCAUCCACUCGAGGCAGGCAACUCAAGUCAGAGCAGACCCAAAGGAACAAAGAGAGAAAAAUUUAAAAGGCAGAAAGCAGUGGGGCAAGAAGGGAAGAGAGAGAGAGGGAAGAAUGAGGAUUAAAGAACCCAAAAGCUGGGCCAUGGUGGCUCACGCCUGUAAUCCCAGCAUUUUGGGAGGCUGAGGCAGGCAGAUCACCUGAGGUCAGGAGUUCGAGACCAGCCUGGCCAACAUGGAGAAACCCCAUCUCUACUAAAAAUACAAAAAUUAGGCCGGGCUCGGUGGCUCACGCCUGUAAUCCUAGCACUCUGUGAGACCGACGCAGGUGGAUCACCUGAGGUCAGGAGUUCAAGACUAGCCUGGCCAACACAGAGAAACCCCGUCUCUACUAAAAAUAUAAAAUUAGCCGGCCGUGGUGAUACAUGCCUGUAAUCCCAGCUACUCAGGAGGCUAAGGCAGGAGAAUCACUUGAAUGGGGGCGGGGGGUGGGGGCGGAGAUCGUGGUGAGCCAAGAUUGUGCCACUGCACUCCAGCCUGGACAACAGGAGCGAAACUCUGUCUCGAAUAAAUAAAUAAAUACAAAAUUAGCUGGACCUAUAGUCCCAGCUACUCGGGAGGAUGAGGCAGGAGAAUUGCUUGAACCCAGGAGGCAGAGCUUCCAGUGAGCCGAGAUUGUGCCACUGCACUCCAGCCUGGGUGACAGAGUGAGACUCUGUCUCAGAAAACAACAAAACCCCCAAAAGCGGAGGCAUGGGAGGAAUGACCCCGUGAAAGCGCCCUGCAGGAAUGAAGAAAGGAAAACUCAAGACCGCACAAACAAAACACAAGCAAGGAAGUGACUGCAGAGUUGUAAAUAAUAUAAUUAGAAUCACUUACAAACCAGUAACACUGAAAACCGGCAUGAAGUCGCUAAAUUCCUAGAAAACUAUAAAAUGAGAAAAACAAAACAAAAAAAGGCAAAAAACCGAAUAGAUUGAAAGUGUUUGUGGGGGCCCGCCCUCCUCCAGCACGGGGCCUAGGCUGCUGGAUGAGUGAGUUCCACUCAGCUUCUGGGGCCAGUUAAUUCCUGUCUCGGACAAAAUGUUCCAGAAAGUCAAAAGAGUGGGAUGUGUCCAGCCCACUUUAUGAGGCUAGGGCGAUAGCAACUCCAAACCAACAAGAACAGACAAAAACAGAACACGAGAGGCCUGUUUCACUCCAGAUUUUAGGUGCAAAAAACACGAAAUAAAAUAUUAGGGGCCAGGUGAAGUGGCUCAUGCCUGUAAUCCCAGCCCCCUGGCAGGCUGAACGCGGGGGAUCACUUGAGCCCAGGAGUUCAAGACUAGCCUGGGCCACUUGGUGAGAUCCUGUCUCUACUAAAAAAAAAAAAAAAAAA
rnacentral:lncRNA from 1 species